rnacentral:tRNA from 1 species
GCGGGGGUCGCCAAGCCCGGUCAACGGCGUGAGAUCAAAUUCUGACACGAUGCUCAGAUGUUGCAGUCUGACUGGGACACCUCAUUCCUUAGGGAUUCGUGGGUUCAAAUCCCACCCCCCGCA